GGUUUCAAUUGCAUUUUAAUACGAUCAGUGUUGGACUUUUGUUUAUUAUGUAUUCCGAUUUUAAUAACUAUAUACAAUGCAAUAUUAUAAGCCACAUUUACAACGUGUUAAUUUUACAAUCCCUUCAUUAGUCAGACAUCCACUGAUCAAUUGCUUCAACAUAGUGGGUUAGUUGGAGAAUUAGCAUUAAAGAAAAUAUUGUGUGUGUGUGUAGACUACAACAAUCCCUUAACAUUUCAUAUUAUUGUUGGAGUGAUAAGCAUAUCAAAACUAAUGAAUUGAAGGACAUAAAAUUUAAAAAAUCUCCCUUUCCUUGUUCUCUCGCUCGGUUUUAGGCAAUGCAACCAAAAUUAAUAAAUCUGCUGCAAAUGUGCCACUGAAUAUUUAAGGCCUGGUCGAACAGAUUGUAAAUAGGAAUGCAACAUUGUGUUUCAGUUGUAAAUUUACAUGAGUUUUAACAAGUCACCGAAAAUUCUUCUCUUUGACCCCCUUCUGGAGCUGGAGCCUGGCGGUUAUUGGAGACAGGUGAUGGAGAUUGAAGACAGGUGACGGUGAAAUCAGUUCCUCGCAAAGAGCGGCCUGUGUGCACUUCUCACCGCACAGAGCUAAUCCGUGAUGUAAAACAUGCAGCGACAUCUCUAAUAUACAUCCCGGCGCCCCGGCGAAAAGCACCGCCUGUAAACUACUGUAGUAAUAUUACAGGCAGAUCAUCCGAUUUGAAUGCGAAGACCUGGAUUGCGAAAAUAUAUUUUAAAGGACCAAAAUUCGUUUUUUUUAAAAAAAAAUCCGAUUGUUUUUUUCUCGGGAGCAGCUUCUGUUGGGUUCAUUUGGCUGGUUUUGCGGGGCCCUGUUUUUGCGGAAUUAAACCCUAACACUCUACAUUGACACUCAGGUGAAGUGGUUUCGUGACACGAGCAGAGCGUUUGCACCGAAUACAUUCCUCGAUGCUUGGCGCAAUCUGAGGUACGAACAAAGAUAUUUACAGAUUGUGCAAUCCCGAUUUAUUGUGGCACGUUUAGGAGCCGUUGUGAAUUUCUUUCGACCUUACCGCAUUUUCUGCAUCUAACGACCAUUCCAGUCCUUCCUUUACAAUUGCAGUUUUCUAAUACAAACCCCGUUGCUGACUUGAAAAAUACGCCUACUUUCUCGGUGUUUGCUGAUUUUUGAAUGAGGAUCGUAUAAUUAAAGCCACGAUUAAACCGC